AGACAAAUCUAAUUGAAACCAAGAAAAAAAAAAAGCAGAUGCCACCAGGAUCUGUCCCACCCCUUCUCGCAGGUCUCUCUCUGAAGUAACUUUGGCUCCUGGGCCUUGUCCUCUCUGCCAAAAUAAUGCAGAUGAGACACACAGAGCAUAGUGUGGAAGAGAGGUGGAAGUGACUACAGAAGGAAGUGAGCAUUCUCAAGGGGUCUCACUCUGUAGGAAAUCUCACCAAUAGAAUGGAUCAGAGAGAAGAUAAACCAUCCAAACUUGAAGAAGAACAAUCCAAUGCAGACAACAAUAAAAUAUUUAGAAAACACCAGUGAGAAUUCCAAGACAUAAGUGAUACUUAGAAAUGACUAGAUAUGCUGAGCCAUCUCUCUAUGUUUUAUUAACUUUAAAUUUUUUAAAUGCCAAUGAGACAGGAAACAGCCAGGGAGAGUACAUUGGAUAAUGGAAAAACUGCUGAAUUAAAUCAGCCUGGAUACUUUAAAGAUGUGUUGACCUCAGAAUGGAAACCAAGAUAUGUGUUAUGUUAGGGAAGAGGUUUGGCUUUUGUUUCCACAGGAGGAGAAAAAUUAUGGAUACUAUCAAGAUUGAUAAAGAUUAGAUUCAAACAGGAGAGACCUCUUGGUUAGGAGAGGUGAUAUUCAUCAAAUAGCAAGGCCUUUCAACCUGCCAAAAAGAGAAACUCCACAAAGUUAAGGUUGGGGCAGAGUUUUGUUUUGGUUUUCCAGGAAAAAUAAAAGUAUCCAAAAAAAAAAAAAGAGAGAGAGAGAGAAUCUGAAGACCACUGGACGCAUGGGACAUACGAAGAAGAAGAGUGAAUCAUCCAGAGAAAAUGCCCCAAGAAAAAGAACAAAUUGGCCUAAAUGUAUAGCACACUUCCAAUAGGAUAAAAUUUCAUAAAUCUUCCCAAGUAUUUUUCUCUACUGUGUCUACAGACACAUAAGACAAAUGGUCUUUUUGUAUUCCCAAUUCAAUUAAAAAUUAAAGCUGGCUUUGGAA
rnacentral:lncRNA from 1 species